UCCCCUGGGCAAUGGGCAAAGGACACCUUGGUGGUGGUAGUGUUCUUAUAUCAGUCGGGCAGAGCAGAUAGAUGAUAGUCCAUUGUUCAUCCUAGCUUGAUGCCUGACUUGGUGGCCAAAGCUGUUUCAUGUAGGGCACAUUU